UGUUAGGGUGGCAGAGCCCGGCCACUGCUAAAGACCUAAGCUCUUUCCACAGAGGUUCAAGUCCUCUCCCUAAC
rnacentral:tRNA from 1 species